rnacentral:rRNA from 1 species
UACGGAGGGGGCUAGCGUUGUUCGGAAUUACUGGGCGUAAAGCGCACGUAGGCGGCCAUUCAAGUCAGAGGUGAAAGCCCAGGGCUCAACCCUGGAAUUGCCUUUGAAACUAGAUGGCUUGAACACGGGAGAGGUGAGUGGAAUUCCGAGUGUAGAGGUGAAAUUCGUAGAUAUUCGGAAGAACACCAGUGGCGAAGGCGGCUCACUGGACCGUUGUUGACGCUGAGGUGCGAAAGCGUGGGGAGCAAACAGG